rnacentral:piRNA from 1 species
UGUGAUUAAAGGCGUGCACUACCAUGCUGG